GACGAACGCUGGCGGCGUGCUUAACACAUGCAAGUCGAACGGAAAGGCCCUGCGUUUGUGGGGUGCUCGAGUGGCGAACGGGUGAGUAACAAGUGAGUAACCUGCCCUUGACUUUGGGAUAACUUCAGGAAACUGGGGCUAAUACCGGAUAGGAGCUCCGGCUGCAUGGUGGGGGUUGGAAAGGUUCGGCGGUUGGGGAUGGACUCGCGGCUUAUCAGCUUGUUGGUGGGGUAGUGGCUUACCAAGGCUUUGACGGGUAGCCGGCCUGAGAGGGUGACCGGCCACAUUGGGACUGAGAUACGGCCCAGACUCCUACGGGAGGCAGCAGUGGGGAAUAGUGCACAAUGGGCGGAAGCCUGAUGCAGCAACGCCGCGUGCGGGAUGACGGCCUUCGGGUUGUAAACCGCUUUCGCCUGUGACGAAGCGUGAGUGACGGUAAUGGGUAAAGAAGCACCGGCUAACUACGUG
rnacentral:rRNA from 1 species